GGCUCGGCCCCGCCGCCCCCUUUCUUACCCCUCACAGCCCGCGGCCCGCCGGGGCUGAGAGCGCCGAGAGGCAGCGCUGGGACUGGAGGAGCCCGAGCGCUUUGCAAGCGUUGAUUCAUUCUGUGAUGUGAAAGAGAAAGAAGUGACACAACCGACCAGUGGCGAAGCCUGAGUCAUCGCAAUGAAUGGUGCCCAUCCUCAUCACCCAUCACCACACCGUGACGGCCGCAGCAAACACAACCAGCAGCCAUGUAGAAGUAGUGAUUUUGACUGAUGACACAUGCAUGAUCUCUCGAUGAGAGGUUUUAAUGUGAUGGGCGAGGAGCACACAGGCCACACGUGAUCUUGUUUGGAAAAAGCAGAGUUCUCCGCUUGAAGAUUUCUGGUCACUAAUGGAGUACAGUGGGACUCGAGUAAGCAAAAAUAGCAUUGUGGUUAAGAUAUUGGCCUAAACUUGGAAGAUAUCUUCUGGUUCCUGGCUCUGCUGCAGACAUCCUGUGUGUCCUUGGAUAAACGCCUCUUGUGAGGCUAAUUUCAUUUAUGUGCUCACAUACGUAGUAAUGAGCCUCAUAAACAGCCUAUAAAUAUAAUCACUUGAAAUUAUUUUUAAGGUACAAUCUCUUGUAUUCUGCGAGGGAUUUCAUGUUCUCUUGGGAGAUGGAAGAGUGUAUGCCAGGCUAAAGGCAUGAGAUGGAUUUGGAUCUAUCUCAAUUUCAGUGGCAUGUGUGCACAUUUAAAUUUGGCAUGUGCAGACCAUUAUGAUAAAAAAAGAGCCUGCAUUAUUUGCACUAUUUCUUAUUUUCUUUCUCAGUCUGGGAUUCUUCAGACUGUAGGAAGCAAGGAGAAACACAUAUAGAUGAUGAUAUCUUUGAAAUAUGCACUGGCUCUGUGUCUUUUUUGUUCAAAAUUCAGGCUUGGGAACACUCUAUAAAAAUCUGUGUGCAUGCACAACAGUUGCAAUUAUUCAUACAGACCCUACUGUAAACCAGAGGCUCAUAUGUACACCUGGACGUUACACAUCUCGACACACAAAAUGUAUGCAGCUAUGCAGUUCACAAGUCAACUUCUACAGGAAGGGUGGUCCUAGAGCAAAUGCAGGUCUGCCAAGUUUGCUAAUUAGGGUUGUGCCUCACCACUUGUGGUGCAAGCGAGUGCUGUGCUGCUUUGCUGGUGCUCUGGCAGCCUCUGCUACAGACAUCCAGCAAUCCCGGGUAAACAACCACUGCUCGCAGCAGGUCUGCAUCAUGCAGCCAGCAAGUGCAACAUGCCAUGGACCCUGGGUCCAGCUAGCAAACACAAACUGUGGCACAGUUAGACCACCGUAAUACUCCCAGUUUUGUUUCUCAAUCCCUCUUCAGCCUCUUCCUUUUCAAAAAGAAUGAUCUCCUCCAACAUAUAUCUUCAGACAAUUGUUGACCUUCCAUUGCUUAGACAAAGCAAAAACAUUUUGUAAGUCUAUACGUAUUGUCUGCAUCUACCACCUAUGUCUAACACAGAUUUUGUAAAAACACAUCUAUCAGUUUUCCAAGGUAGACAUGCCUUAUUUCAUUACAGAAAGAUCUUGUGUGUGUGUGUGUAUUUUAACUUAAUACACCCAGUUAAAAAGCCAUGCACAUGUAGCCAUUUCUGUAUGGAUUGUUUACAAGCAAAACAGUGUCUGUGUUUGAAAACCCACCCAUCAAGAAUAUGUUUACCAUAAAGCAAAGAGUUCCAUAGUAUGAAAGUGCAGCUGAAGGUACUCUUGAUGAUUAGUGAGAAACCAGCAUUCAUUAUUCAUUUGUAAAGUAAUGAUUGUUUCCCUUAAAUCUCCAUAGCAUUCCCUGCAUCACGUUACUGCUUUCAAAUAACUAGAAAUGCCAAUACCUUAAUGAAUCAGAGUACUACUACAUCGUCAAAGGUUGUUAGAAGACACAAAAAUUAUCAAUUUCUAACAUAAAAGGCAGCAGGCAAGAAGACAAAAUUAAGCACAUAAGCAAAAAGUACCUGCUAUCUCCAAAUUAAAAGCAUCUGUUUAGAUGCUAGAAAACCUGUGACUGCAGUUUCUACAAGAACCAAUAUUUCAAAUGUGAUCACUUACACUACUAGUUUUUUCCUGGAUGGCAGCCCUAGUAGUUACUCAAGUGUAUUCCAGUUCACGUAAGGGCAAAGGUAUGCUUCUGGAAUUACCCCUGCUGUCCAGUCUCUCAGAGAAUUAAAGACCUUGGCAAUUAGGAACAGAGCCUUACCAAGCAGCACCCUUGUGUAAGGGAAGGGAGAGAAGACAUGAAAUGAAGAGGCAGUGCCCUCUUCCCUUGCCUCUCAGGAACGGUCUGAGCUAUUAGGUUAAUGCCUCGGCACUGGGAUGCGUCAGUAACAAUAAGGCUUGUAGCAAAGCAAGAAUCUUGACACUCCCAAAAACUUGUUAAUUUUGGCAAGCAAGUUAUGUCUGGGGAGCUGAAGUGAAGAAAAUAAGG